rnacentral:rRNA from 1 species
CACGUAGUUAGCCGGUGCUUCUUCUACCACUACCGUCACCCCAAAAGAGGCUUCGUCAUGGCUGAAAGGAGUUUACAACCCGAAGGCCGUCAUCCCCCACGCGGCGUCGCUGCAUCAGGCUUGCGCCCAUUGUGCAAUAUUCCCCACUGCUGCCUCCCGUAGGAGUCUGGGCCGUAUCUCAGUCCCAAUGUGGCCGUCCACCCUCUCAGGCCGGCUACCCGUCGACGCCUUGGUAGGCCAUUACCCCACCAACAAGCCUGAUAGGCCGCGAGCUCAUCCCUUACCGAAAAAAUCUUUCCACCACACCACCUACAGCAUGGUCCUAUCCAGUAUUAGACCCAGUUUCCCAGGCUUAUCCCAAGUAAGGGCAGAUCACCCACGUGUUACUCACCCGUUCGCCACUCGAGCACCCUGCAAGCAGGGCCUUCCGUUCGACUUGCAUGUGUUAAGCACGCCGCCAGCGUUCGUCCUGAGCCAGGACUCGAACUCU